rnacentral:tRNA from 1 species
CCCUUGGUGGCACAAAUAGUUAAGUGCUCAGCUACUAACUGAAAGUUUGGUGGUUCAAAUCCACCCAGAGGUG